rnacentral:rRNA from 1 species
ACAGGUUGAAAUUCCUGUACUGCUUAUGGACAGAACUGUGGGGACGCAGAAGGAGAGCACGAGCCGGAAAUGGAAAAGCCGGUACAAGCGUAUAGCAGUCAUGCAGGCAAAACCGCAUGAAAAAUGUAAAGCGUUAUGUGGAUCGAACAUUAGUAGAGAAGCGUGUGAGCCAGCUGCCAAGAAAAGCCGCUAUUGUUUCAUAAGUACCCGUACCGUAAACCGACACAGGUGGAUGAGGAGAGAAUCCUAAGGCCGGCGGGAGAAGUGUUGUUAAGGAACUCGGCAAAAUGACUCCGUAACUUCGGGAGAAGGAGUGCCACAGAGAUGUGGCCGCAGAGAAAUGGCCCAAGCAACUGUUUAGCAAAAACACAGGUCUAUGCAAAACCGAAAGGUGAGGUAUAUGGGCUGACGCCUGCCCGGUGCUGGAAGGUUAAGAGGAGAGGUUAGAGCAAUCGAAGCUUUGAAUUUAAGCCCCAGUAAACGGCGGCCGUAACAAUAACGGUCCUAAGGUAGCGAAAUUCCUUGUCGGGUAAGUUCCGACCCGCACGAAAGGCGUAAUGAUUUGGGCACUGUCUCAACAACACACCCGGUGAAAUUGAAAUACCAGUGAAGAUGCUGGUUACCUGCGCCAGGACGGAAAGACCCCAUGGAGCUUUACUCCAGUUUGAUACUGGGAUUCGGUACUGUCUGUACAGGAUAGGUGGGAGGCUAGGAAAUGGUGACGCCAGUUGCCAUGGAGCCAACCUUGGGAUACCACCCUUACAGUACUGGGUUUCUAACCUGCAGCCGUAACCCGGCUGGGGGACAAUGUCUGACGGGGAGUUUGACUGGGGCGGUCGCCUCCGAAAGAGUAUCGGAGGCGCUCAAAGGUUCCCUCAGAACGGUUGGAAACCGUUCGAAGAGUGCAAAGGCAGAAGGGAGCUUGACUGCGACACCGACGGGUGGAGCAGAUACGAAAGUAGGACUUAGUGAUCCGGUGGUAUAAAGUGGGAUUGCCAUCGCUCAACGGAUAAAAGCUACCCUGGGAUAACAGGCUUAUCACUCCCAAGAGUUCACAUCGACGGAGUGGUUUGGCACCUCGAUGUCGGCUCAUCGCAUCCUGGAGCUGUAGCAGGUUCCAAGGGUUGGGCUGUUCGCCCAUUAAAGCGGUACGCGAGCUGGGUUCAGAACGUCGUGAGACAGUUCGGUCCCUAUCCGGCGUGGGCGUAGGAUAUUUGAGAGGAGCUGUCCUUGUACGAGAGGACCGGGAUGGACAAACCUCUGGUGUAUCUGUUGUUUUACCAAAGGCAUGGCAGAGUAGCCAAGUUUGGCAGGGAUAAACGCUGAAGGCAUCUAAGCGUGAAGCCCCCCUCAAGAUAAGAUAUCCCAUCUUCGGAGUAAGACCCCUUGAAGACUACAAGGUUGAUAGGCUUCAGGUGUAAGUGUGGUAACGCACUCAGCUGAGAAGUACUAAUAGGUCGAGGACUUAUU